rnacentral:rRNA from 1 species
CCUACGGGAGGCAGCAGUGAGGAAUAUUGGUCAAUGGGCGCGAGCCUGAACCAGCCAAGUAGCGUGAAGGAUGACUGCCCUACGGGUUGUAAACUUCUUUUAUAAAGGAAUAAAGUGAGGCACGUGUGCCUUUUUGUAUGUACUUUAUGAAUAAGGAUCGGCUAACUCCGUGCCAGCAGCCGCGGUAAUACGGAGGAUCCGAGCGUUAUCCGGAUUUAUUGGGUUUAAAGGGAGCGUAGGCGGCCUUUUAAGUCAGCGGUGAAAGUCUGUGGCUCAACCAUAGAAUUGCCGUUGAAACUGGGGGGCUUGAGUAUGUUUGAGGCAGGCGGAAGGCGGGGUGUAGCGGUGAAAUGCUUAGAUAUCACGCAGAACCCCGAUUGCGAAGGCAGCCUGCCAAGCCAUGACUGACGCUGAUGCACGAAAGCGUGGGGAUCAAACAGGAUUAGAUACCCCGGUAGUC